AAUAUCUAUGGUGGCGACCGGCGCACGGGUGCGUAACGCGUAUGCAACCUACCUUUAACAGGGGGAUAACAGACGGAAACGACUGCUAAUACCGAAUAAGUUCCAAGAGCCGCAUGGCCCAUGGAAGAAAAGGUGGCCUCUACCUGUAAGCUAUCGCCUGAAGAGGGGUUUGCGUCUGAUUAGCUGGUUGGAGGGGUAACGGCCCACCAAGGCGACGAUCAGUAGCCGGUCUGAGAGGAUGAACGGCCACACUGGAACUGAGACACGGUCCAGACUCC
rnacentral:rRNA from 1 species